CCCACCAAGGACCAAACCUUAAGUUUGACAUCAUGUGUCUUAUAGAGAUGGAUCAAUUUUUUUUCCAGUGUUGUAGUUGAUUGACAUGGCGUCAAAGGUGGCUUCGAUCGUCAAUCUCGAGGCUCCAUUUUUUUUUCUCGCAUUAUGUGAGUGUUUGGGUUUGUGGGUGUUGCAUACUAUGUGUUCUAAUUCUUAUUUCUAGACAAAAAAGGAAGUAGAGCUCAAGACUUCACCAUGAUGUCAAUAGAAGUUUAUGUGAAGUUGUGAACCACUUCAAGACGUAGUUGGCUCUAAGACUAGCGAACAGAGCCUACACUGUUAAGUAAAUUGUACAUAUCCCCUAGCAAGCUGGGUUUGUAACUGAGUUUUUUUAUAUAGGUGCACAAAAUGCAAGUGUCCAUUGAGACAUUGACCUAGCUCCUUUGGUCCUCCCAAAGAGAGGGUGUUCGUUGCUAAAGUAGUGUGCAUAUGACAAGCUAUAUAGCACAUCCCUAAGAGCAUCUGCACUCCA
rnacentral:lncRNA from 1 species